GAAACGCUUCCUUCAAGUACCAAAAAUUUUAUUGCAUCUCGAACAAUUUCCUCUACUACAGAGAAUCCCAUUAUAACUACUCCAAAAGAAAAUACAACACCCAAAGCACCAGUUGUAGAAAUUCCAUCUACAAUAUCUUCUAUACCAAGAACAAG